rnacentral:misc_RNA from 1 species
UUAAGUCGAACGGCCCGCCACCUGGUAGCAAAAGUCGUAAGUUCCGCCAUAUUGCAAAAGUUGGAAAAUCUUAAAUGGCGUCGUUCUCCGAUGUCCUCAGCCCGAGCUAGUUUUACUAGCCAUUGCCAACCAUUUUUUCCCGCUGCCCGCAAAAAAACUGUUGUGAACUUCAUACAGCGGACUGCGUAGAGUGACUUCUAAUCUCCUUCUAUUGGUUAGGCAGUUGUUGAAAAUUUUGAUUCUUUUUUCUCGCUCACCUCCCUAUCGAAAGAACGUACAGGCCCAAAUGGCGUUAGCCAUCAGAAUCACUGACGGGAUUACAGUGUGAAAAACUAGUCACAAGAACGUUUUUCCACUUACACCCGUCCUUUUUCUACCCUCCCAUCAACAAGAGUCUACACUCAUCUCUUAUAUAUUGAAACAAUAUACAAAAUUCUUAAAAGAGAUUUCUGAAUCUUGAGGUUGUGUCGAGUGUCAAGUGUCUUCGACUGUGUCAGGUGUGUCUUCUGUGUGCACUGUGUGCAGACUGUAGUUUACAGCUAUGUUCUUGGCGUGAGUCAAAUUAUCAUUACAAUUUUAAAAAUGAGCGGACGGCCGCGCACCACCUCAUUUGCUGACAAGACAUCUUUAAAUCCUUCAUUUGGUAAAGAUGGGAGCAAGGUCACCACAGUGGUGGCAACCCCUGGACAGGGACCUGAUAGAGCUCAAGAAGUGGCUUACACAGAUGCUAAAGUAAUAGGAAAUGGCAGUUUUGGUGUUGUCUACCAAGCCAAACUAUGUGAGACCGGUGAACUUGUGGCCAUCAAAAAAGUUCUUCAAGAUAAGCGGUUCAAAAAUCGCGAGCUGCAGAUUAUGCGGCGCCUGGAACACUGCAACAUCGUCAAGUUGAAAUACUUUUUCUAUUCCAGCGGAGAAAAGAAAGAUGAGGUGUUUCUCAAUUUGGUUUUGGAGUUUAUACCCGAGACCGUUUACAAAGUAGCACGUCACUAUAGCAAAUCCAAACAGACUAUUCCUAUAAGUUUUAUCAAACUAUACAUGUAUCAACUCUUUCGGAGUCUGGCUUACAUUCAUUCGUUGGGAAUCUGUCACCGGGACAUCAAGCCACAGAAUCUGUUGCUCGAUCCCGAGUCUGGUGUACUGAAGCUCUGCGAUUUCGGAAGUGCUAAGCAUUUGGUCCAGGGUGAGCCCAAUGUCUCUUACAUUUGCUCACGUUAUUAUCGGGCACCCGAACUCAUUUUCGGAGCCACCGACUACACCACGAAUAUAGAUGUUUGGAGCGCUGGGUGCGUUUUGGCUGAGUUGCUUUUGGGCCAGCCAAUCUUCCCGGGCGACUCUGGGGUCGACCAGUUGGUGGAGAUUAUCAAAGUCUUGGGCACACCCACCCGAGAACAGAUCCGUGAAAUGAAUCCAAACUACACCGAGUUCAAGUUUCCUCAGAUCAAAGCACACCCAUGGCAGAAGGUCUUCCGUGCUCGGACGCCAUUGGAAGCGAUCGAUUUAGUCUCGCGUCUCUUGGAAUACACCCCCUCGGCGCGCAUCUCGCCUUUAGAGGCGUGCGCUCACACCUUUUUCGAAGAACUUAGGGACCCUCAUACGAGGUUACCCAACGGGCGAGAAUUGCCCGUCCUCUUCAACUUUACUGAACAUGAACUGAAGAUUCAACCGGCCCUGAACGCCGUGCUAAUUCCGCCCCACAUGCGAGGCGCUAGCGGCCUGAUGGGCGUCAUGAACGCCACAUCUCCCUCUCAAGAUUCUUCAGCCACUGGGUCUCCUAAUUCGGCUGGUGGAGCGGAAGGAUCUUCUGCAGCAGGAGCUUCGGGGGCCGCAGGGGGUCACAUUCAUUCACCUCCUGAUGUCUGCUCUUCGACCGGUGAGACUCUUGGAGCCGUCGGAACUGCAUAGAAGAAUCGAAUCGAAUCCACGAAAAAGAAAAAGAAGAAGAAAAAAACUAAAAGACAAGACUUUAACCACCACCCAAUCGUCUCCUCCUAUAUGCAUGGCAGAAACAGGAGCUGAACCAAGGAAGAAAGGGGAUAACUUUUUUUUUUCUUUUUUUGAAUUAAAUGGAAGUUUUUAAAAGCUAGAAGUCUUAAUUAUCGAUUGCAACCGCUGCCAUGGAAACAUUCAUUAAGCGUUAAACGAAAAAAACGAAACAAGAGGAAAAAAGGGUGGGUGACGGGAAGAAAAAGAAAAACUCUCCCCCCAUUAAGGAAUGAAGGACUAGACUCUUUUUUGAAACCUCCCAACAGCAACAGCUAAAGAAUUGUAAUUUGUAACAAGAAGCAAAACUUAGAUUUUCAGGACAUAGUCUUUUGUGAGCGCGGGAAAUAUAUUCCUUUUCGGAUUCAUCGCCGGAGCUACGUCCCAGAUAACACGGUCCGGUUACCUUGGUUCAGGUUCUGGAUCGCGGACGUCCCUCCCAUGGUUUAUUUCCCACAUCAUUUGUUUGUUUUUUUUUUUUCCUUCUCGACUCCCCUUAUACCAAAUCGACGGAUUAGCAGAGGAUGUGUAGUUUAUUGCGAGUCCCUCUGCAAGCAAAAAUGGAAGCAAAAAACAAAAAAAAAAGACAAAAAAGAAAAUUUCACGUGUUGUAGAUCGUGUCGUCCUUAUCCCCCCCCCCCUCUCUCUCUCCCUUCCCAACGACACUCCAUCCUCUUUCCCUCCGUUUGUUGUACUGUACAGGAAGAAAACAAAAUCACCUGCUCGAAAGCCACCAGGUGGACUGAUGCGCGGAAAAUUUCUCCGCUUCACCUCGUCCUCCCUCAAGAAAAUCUCUCAUCACCCCCAUUUUAGGAGGAGGGCGGUUUCAUAACAACCCUCUCACAACACACACAACAAGCUGCUGUUGCCAAUUAAUUUGACAAAAUAUCCCUUUUCGUUCACACUAGCCCCGAUUCUUCCUCUUUAUUCAUUUCGUCGACAGCGUGCUCAUACCGUGUGUGCACUACGAUGCUGCUCCUUUACAUCCCUCCUAUCAUGGCUCUUAAAAAAAAACGUAUAUUUCUUCUUUCGAAACGUUCAAAACUCGGAACUUUAUAGACACCUUUUUUUCUCUCUCUCUCUCUAUCCCGCUGCUGCCCUCCCUCUCUCUCCUCGUCUGGCGUAACUGAGUGAAGCUGUGCUAUAUGUCUCACGUGUAUGUCCCUAUCCCUGAUUCCCGUUUAUUCUCUUUCAUUCUGGCUAUCUCUCUUUUCCCUUUCUUUCUCUUUCUCUCUCUGAUAGGUUUCGUUUCUUAUUCAUUCACAUCCCUCCCCCACAGCGUCAUGCCGAGUUAAAUUUUUUUUUUUUUUAUGAUUUUAAAAUGCAAUUUCAGUUCUGAGUAGGUCAAUAUUAUUACAUACAAAAGAAAAACAAAAAAUAAAACAAUUGUUUCAGUAUCAGUUGUAUAGCCACUACCUACUUGUGCGUGUGCUGCUGGGGAAAAAAAGACAAAAGAGGUGGGAGGAAAAAAUGUUAAAAAAUUUAAAUUUAAAAGGAAAAAAAAAAAAAAGAGUUUAGGGUCAGGCUUUUCUUCAUUCUACCCUUUCUUGUGUUGAAUUGAUCGACGACGACAAAGUUAUAAUAUGAUGAUGAUUGCACACCCUCUUAUUACCCUAUUACCCUAUAUCCUCUUUCUACCGUAUAAGGAAAAUCCCGUUGACUCUUUUUCUCUCAUGUCCUCGCCCUUGUUGACGUUUCCAUGUUCUCGAAAUGGAGAAAUUUUUGCAAAACCUCCCUCUCCCCAUUCUGCCCCUUUUCCCGAAUAUCCCAACCCGUUCUUUCCGCGCUAUAGAAAAGUGGCGAUUAAAGGAAUGCGAGAGACGUGUCUACAACAACAGUUAAUUAAUUGCAUUGGUGUUUAUGUCGCAUGGCUGUAUGAUGAAUACAAAAGCUUAUAAAUACACUCGCGUGUACUGCCCGAAAACAAAAUGUGAGGCUACUAUUUGAGGUCAUGGGCUCCAUCAAUCAAGUGUUUCAUAAUUAUGUAUGCAGAUGGUGACUUUUAGCCAAGGACAGCGUAAUGAAUAAUGAGGUAACUUUUGGCAAUGGAUAUUUCUUUGGAUUUCAUAAUUUUUUCUUUUCUCAAUCGUUGGAGUUAAUCUAGGAACAAACAACAAACCAAAUGGAAAUUGCACGGCGUGCGUCAGCCUUCAAAUGGCGAGCUAAUAUUUGGCACGUAUUACGGACAUUUGAUCGGACCUUGAUUAAGAUGAAAACAUUGUUCAAUCUGAUAACGUCUUCAAAAUUCAUAGCAGCGCUUCAACGCAGUCGAGACGAAUGGCCACAAGUAUUCAGGGACGAGAAUCACUGAGACGCAUUACGCACCGCAAUGCGUCGAUCGUGACGUGAAUCAAGUCGACGCUCACGCGCAGAAUGCGCAUACAAGACUGGCUCUAUUUUUGUCGUUCGGACACUUGAAAACUAAAUCCACUACCUCAUUACCGGAAUGACUUACCUAAAUUUAGAUGGUGAACGUGAGGGAAGUCACGGUCCCGGACCGCGGGACGAAACCAAAUCUGCAAACUGCGACAUUAUAAGAAGACAAUACGCCAUCUUUGCAAUCAAGGAAAGGAAAUUGUAUUGGACAUUAUCUAAUUGAAAAAUUAUGGUUGUAAAUUUGAAUCGGGUUUAACUUUCAUUUCAGGAGCGCAGGAUCGAGGAUUACGGCUGGAUGGGCAGACCUUGGAAUUAAGAAGAAAACAGAAUGGCGUUAUUAACUGGACCUUCGUGAUAAUGUGAGUAUAAAUUUUUCAAAUUAAGAAACGUGUCGAUGAACGCUAUGCGCAUGUCGCAUUGCGUCAAUCGUGAUGGGAGCAUUCACACGCAUGAGAGAGACUGGCUUUAUUUGAUUCAUCCAGUCAUUUGCAGCAAAAAGUUCAUCGUUACCGCAUGACUUACCUAAAUCUAGCUGGUCGGAGAACGUGAUCGUCGUCACGGGCUCGAACAGAGACCAUACCAGAAUCUGCAAGUAAAAACGGGUUUAGCUGAGAUCUUUCCAGUUAGCUGCUUCUUGCCAAUCCCGCCGGGUAAAGUAAAAGAAUGCAAGAAAAAAAAGAAUCACGUACGGUGUUGUCUCCACGAUUGAGCAACGGCGCGGGAAUGUAAAGAGUUUUCGUUGGACCGAUACCCGAAUAACGACCGAUGUUGAAUCCAUUGACAAAAACGACCCCUCGAUUACCAUCGCCCCAUCCGACCGUCGUGAUGAAUGUGUCGGUAGGAUCGCCGGAAAUGCUCAGAGUAGCUUUAGUUAGUGUGGGGCUGUUGGCAGUUGAUGGCGGAGCUGGAGAGUUGUUCCAGUUUGUCAAACUUUGAAUGCCAAUUUCGUUUAAUUAUUAUUGAAUGAAACUUAACGCGAAUAACUUCCGUUUUCUUUUACCUUCGAACCCAAGCCGAUGUAAAUUCUAGUGGGAAUAUAGUCCAUCCGACGACUUCUUCGUUGUCCAAUAAAACAGGUCCCUCCGGUAAUCCGCGUUUCUGAUAGAAAUAACUCGGUGGUCCAAAGUUAUUCCUAAAAAAUUAUUUUAAAUUUAACUCUUUUAAAAUACUUUAUAUGGAUUUGUUGUGUACCUUGCCAUAUUUUCGACAAGCAAAUCUACCACGUAGGUCGCAUCACCUUUUUCAGCAUUAAAAUCAAAUGUUCGAUUCCUGAUAGAAUAUUUGUACGCACUUCAGAAUAAUCAGAGUUUUUGUUUUACUUAAGUUAAUUUACGGUUGGGGCCAAAAGCCGAAAUCAUUCAAUUGUGCGUCGUUUUUCCAAUCAGAAGUUAAACGUUGUUGAUCCAACAUUAAAACAGCCAAAUCUCUAACGUGUCCGAUGGUCUGAAUGGUGUGACUGCCACCUGUCAAAGUAGCUGAAUUUCGAUACAAAAUGUAUCCGUAGCUCUGACCGUUAUCGUUAUUGAUUGGAAGAUCUUCCAUGGCCAACAAGUUAUCCGACUGAAUCACCAAGUUGCUUGGCUGGAUGUCAUGUAGUUUGCAAUUAAAAUUAGAUUUUCAAUAAAAUUUUGACAUUUUUUAUUGUUACCAGUUGAAGAAGAAGAUCUUCUAGCGUCAGGUGCUCCGUCGUUUGGAUUUCAGGAUAAGCUGUUUUGACACUUUCGAUUGGCAAAGCUGGCAUAUAGAUGUUAGGAACUCUGUUGAACUGAGCAAUAAGAUCUUUGGCAGCAUAAUAUUUGUCAGUGUAAUCGCCUGCUUCGGUCAGUGGUGCAUCAUAAUCUGUAAAAAUAAAGUUAAAAAUCGUUUUGACUGAAGAACUUUUUAAUUUUUAGAAUUCGCACCGUAACUACUGAUAUCCGCUGCGUAAAAUGGAAAUACCGGAAGCUGAUUGGCGCCGUUCAUAAACCCGAAACUGGUUCCGCCGAUAAACAUGUAGAAAUUAACUGAACUAUUUCUGGUGAAGAUGCGUUCCAGAGUGUAGGAAAAUUCUGAUAGGACAGAUGUACAUUAGAAUUCUGGAUUUGUUAUAACGUUAUUUUGUUUACCUUCUAAAGAGGACCCUCCAUGAUAGCCUUGUCCCCAGUGAUCGAACUAUCAGAAGAAAAGAAAAGGUAACUUGACUUUCCUAAUCUGCAACUUUAACACAUUUACCCAUCCGCUCCAGAAUUCGGCAACCAUGUAGGGUUUAUCGGGUUGCAAAAUGUCGAGUGCGUCAAAUUCAGGAUCAGCAUUAUUUUGGAAGUUAGCUGUUUGAAGUUCUCCGGGAACGGCACCUAAAUCUGCGUUCUUAGUGGGUGUGUCAGAAGUGAAAAACAUUUCGGUAGCUCCUAGCGCAAUCAUUUUAUCUCUUAAAUGGAUAAGAUACUCCGUGUCACGCGGCUCGUCACGCACACCAAAAGCUCCGUAUUCGUUCUCUACCUGAUGCGAUAACAAUAUUAUUAACAGCCUGAAUUGAUCUUGACAUAAUUGGUGAUUUUAACAUUCGAUUUAAAAAAAUAAUAAAUAAAUGACAGGUAGUCAUACUUGAAAGGCGAUAAUAGGCCCAUCUCCUUUUUGGAAUUGCAAAUUGACCACUCUCGAAAAAACUUGUGUCAAGUAGUCAUCUGCUACUUGGAGGAAUCCGGGGUAGGAGGUGCGGACUUUCAUUUCGGGAUCGCGCAACAGCCAACUGGAAAGCGUCCAGAGACGAUUGCCAAUCGAUUCAAUUCACAUUAUUUGAAAUUUAUUGAUAAUUACCUUGGCAACCCACCGAAAUCCCAUUCACUACAAAUGUACGGGCCUGGUCGCAAGAUGACGAAUAGAUCUUCCUCCUGAGCCAUUUCAACGAAAGCAGUCACAUUUAGAAAGGCAGAAAAAUCGUUUUGCCCUUCACUAAAAUCAUAAUCUCCUCGACGAGGUUCGUGCAGAUUCCAAGGCAUGUAUCUUUAUGUAGUUUUUGAUUAGUAUCAGAUGUUUUUAGACCAAGAACUUUGUGUUACGUUUCGACUGUGUUGGCUCCAACGGCUCGAAGUUUUCUCAGGCGAUCGCGCCAUUGCGUCGGAUGGAUGCGAAAAUAAUGAACUGCUCCGCUGAUGAUGUGAAAUGGUUUUCCAUUCAAUAAAAAUCCAUCUUUACUGGCUGGAAUGAGUCCUGAUGUUCGGCCGCCUGCCGUGUAGUAAUCGUACCACGUAACAUCGUUCUGGGCCAGUGCCAGUAACGGUAGAAGGCAUAC